UUUCCGUAGGUGAACCUGCGGAAGGAUCAUUAGCGAGAAGUGGGGCCUCCGUGCCUCCAGUCCCAUCACACACACAUCGUUGAACAUUUUCGGCGUCCUUGGGUGAAAGCUUGCUCGAUUAGCCCUGUCGGAUUAGCCUUGCAAACUCGUUUGAAAGUCUUGAAAGUGAAGUUAGAAAUAACACAGUAUAACUUAUAGCAACGGAUCUCUAGGCUCUCGUAUCGAUGAAGAACGCAGC
rnacentral:misc_RNA from 1 species